CAGCAGUGGGGAAUAUUGCACAAUGGGCGCAAGCCUGAUGCAGCCAUGCCGCGUGUAUGAAGAAGGCCUUCGGGUUGUAAAGUACUUUCAGUCGUGAGGAAGGUUCAUACGUUAAUAGCGUAUGGAUUUGACGUUAGCGACAGAAGAAGCACCGGCUAACUCCGUGCCAGCAGCCGCGGUAAUACGGAGGGUGCGAGCGUUAAUCGGAAUUACUGGGCGUAAAGCGCAUGCAGGUGGUUAGUUAAGUCAGAUGUGAAAGCCCGGGGCUCAACCUCGGAAUUGCAUUUGAAACUGGCUGACUAGAGUACUGUAGAGGGGGUAGAAUUUCAGGUGUAGCGGUGAAAAUGCGUAGAGAUCUGAAGGAAUACCGGUGGCGAAGGCGGCCCCCUGGACAGAUACUGACACUCAGAUGCGAAAGCGUGGGGAGCAAACAGGAUUAGAUACCCUGGUAG
rnacentral:rRNA from 1 species